GGGUCGUGUCUGCUGCAAGCAAG
rnacentral:siRNA from 1 species